rnacentral:rRNA from 1 species
AUUGGGUAGGGGAGCGUUCUGUAAGCGGUUGAAGGUGUGUGGUAACGCAUGCUGGACGUAUCAGAAGUGCGAAUGCUGACAUGAGUAACGAUAAAGGGGGUGAAAAACCUCCUCGCCGGAAGACCAAGGGUUCCUGUCCAACGUUAAUCGGGGCAGGGUAAGUCGACCCCUAAGGCGAGGCCGAAAGGCGUAGUCGAUGGGAAACGGGUUAAUAUUCCCGUACUUCUUACAAUUGCGAUGGGGGGACGGAGAAGGCUAGGUGGGCCUGGCGACGGUUGUCCAGGUUCAAGUGCGUAGGCUGAAGAGUUAGGUAAAUCCGGCUCUUUUUAAGGCUGAGACACGACGUCGAGCACCUACGGGUGUGAAGUCAUUGAUGCCAUGCUUCCAGGAAAAGCCUCUAAGCUUCAGAUUGUAAGGAAUCGUACCCCAAACCGACACAGGUGGUCGGGUAGAGAAUACCAAGGCGCUUGAGAGAACUCGGGUGAAGGAACUAGGCAAAAUGGUACCGUAACUUCGGGAGAAGGUACGCUCUCGACGGUGAAGUCCCUCGCGGAUGGAGCUAUUGAGAGUCGCAGAUACCAGGUGGCUGCAACUGUUUAUUAAAAACACAGCACUGUGCAAAAUCGUAAGAUGACGUAUACGGUGUGACGCCUGCCCGGUGCCGGAAGGUUAAUUGAUGGGGUUAGACUUC